AUUGAACGCUGGCGGCAGGCUUAACACAUGCAAGUCGAGCGAGCGGCGGACGGGUGAGUAAUGUCUGGGAAACUGCCUGAUGGAGGGGGAUAACUACUGGAAACGGUAGCUAAUACCGCAUACCAUCAGAUGUGCCCAGAUGGGAUUAGCUAGUAGGUGGGGUAAUGGCUCACCUAGGCGACGAUCCCUGGCUGGUCUGAGAGGAUGACCAGUCACACUGGAACUGAGGUAAGGUACAGACUCGUACGGGAGGCAGCAGGGGGGGAUAUGGCACAAUGGGCUCAACCCUAUGGCAGCCAUGCCGCGGGUGUGAAGAAGGCCUUCGGGUUGUACAGCAAUUUCAGCGAUGAGGCGUUACUCGCAGAAGAAGCACCGGCUAACUCCGUGCCAGCAGCCGCGGUAAUUC
rnacentral:rRNA from 1 species